rnacentral:rRNA from 1 species
UGGGGAAUAUUGGGCAAUGGGCGAAAGCCUGACCCAGCAACGCCGCGUGAAGUAUGAAGGCCUUCGGGUUGUAAACUUCUUUGAUCAGGGAAGAAACAAAUGACGGUACCUGAAAAACAAGCCACGGCUAACUACGUGCCAGCAGCCGCGGUAAUACGUAGGUGGCGAGCGUUAUCCGGAUUUACUGGGUGUAAAGGGCGUGCAGGCGGGCUGAUAAGUCAGAUGUGAAAUCCCCGAGCUUAACUCGGGAACUGCAUCUGAUACUGUUGGUCUUGAGUGCUGGAGAGGAUAGUGGAAUUCCUAGUGUAGCGGUAAAAUGCGCAGAUAUUAGGAGGAAAACCAGUGGCGAAGGCGGCUAUCUGGACAGUAACUGACGCUGAGGCGCGAAAGCGUGGGGAGCGAACAGG